CUUAGAUUAUCUCUAGUUUUCAUAAGUUUAUUAACAAGUGUGGGCAACAGCCCCAUGGUUAAGCAUUCUCCUUUUCCUUCUGCAACUCAAAUUCAAAUCUCGUUUGUGCUUAAGUGAAAUGAUUGUUUAUUAUUAUUAUUUCUUCCCUGCUGUGCCACCCAUGUUGGUCAAACUCAAACUCUAGGCAACCUGAUUGAGAUAAAAACGGAAUCAGAUUAGGUAGGAUUUAAUUAGUUUAUUUUUUAAAAUUUUGAGGACUUAUCUCCUAAAAAUCCUCCUAGUGUCGCCCCCCUCUCCCCCAUUUCCCCACUUUUCUUUGUUUUCCACUUUUGUUGCUGUAACCUCCUCUUUUGUUGAAUUCUCUCUAUUUUUCCCUCCUUUCUUUAUCUUCUUUCUUUUUACUCAUUUGUUUCCAUAAUUUCACGUUAACACCCUCUUGAUUUCAUCUUUUGCAAUCCCUACCUACUGUGUUGCCGCCGUCCAGACUUUGAUCCUUCCUAGUGCCGUAGCUAACCCUCUGGUCUCGUUACUGGUUGUGUGUGAUUUGGAGUUUCAGUAUAAUAUCAUAAUUUUGCGUGAGGAUCGUGAGGCGCAUACCCCUCCUGCGAAUUAAGUGCCUUGGAAACCUCUACUCCUUAGGGUAAGUAGUUGAAAGCCUAGUCAAGGGGCUGGCAGGUGUUAAUUUUUGCUUUGGUCGAAUGCUCUCAGGGAGCAAGGGCUGAAUGCCUUAGGCUGAUUUUCUAUUAUGGAUGCCAAUUGGUUAAGGUUUGAUGUCAUGGGCAGAGCGCGGAUUGUUGUUGUAGUGCCGACACCUCAAAAACAAUUAGGUGUAUGUUUUAACCCUACUUGAUUUGUGAGAGUAGAAGUUAAUCAAAUGUUGCGGUGUUUUAAUUAAACUCGUUCGGUUGUGACUGAGUUUUUUUUUUCUGGUGCUGGCUGAAAGUAAGUAUUCCCUUAAUUGUUAAAUUUGGUGUUAGUCGAUUGGCUAUGGGUGUGUUUCGGUUAUGGCUGAAUCCGAGUAGGUAAGUUGGGUGUCGUGAUUGAAGGUGAGUAUGCUUGAUUUGAGUUAGCUGAUUGCAUGUAUGUUUCAACGUGUUGUUGAAAGUGAUACUUGCUUGUUUUAUUUGCGAGGGCCGAACUUGCCAAUAACUUGUUUCUGAUUUGUUAAACUAUAUGUACCAUUAGCAUGUUACCGAUCUGUUUAAUAUGCAUAUGGACAUGUAUGAUUUGAGUAUGCUUAGUAUGUCAGGACAUCUGCAUGUGCAUUGGGAUUUGGGAUAUGUUUGACUUGGAGGAAGUUUUGGCAGACUAUGAUCUACGAUUCUGGCUGUUUUCCCGCAACUCUGAUUUGGCAGUUGGAUGGGUACAUAGCAACCCUGUUUGGUGUGUUGGAUAGACGAAGUUGGUGUACAGCGGUUGAGGAUAGGAUUACUCUGAAUAGUACUAUGCAUUAUUAAGUAUGUCAUGUCAUUUGUUUUAACCUUAUUCUUAAUGUGUUUUUGGGUGAUUCUCUAAUGUUAAUUGUGAAUUUUAUACUCUUAAUAUUUUAAAUUCAUAUUUUAAUGUUUAAAA